rnacentral:rRNA from 1 species
AUUGAACGCUGGCGGCAGGCCUAACACAUGCAAGUCGGGCGAGUGGCGGACGGGUGAGUAAUGUCUGGGGAACUGCCCGAUGGAGGGGGAUAACUACUGGAAACGGUAGCUAAUACCGCAUACCAUCGGAUGUGCCCAGAUGGGAUUAGCUUGUAGGUGGGGUAAUGGCUCACCUAGGCGACGAUCCCUAGCUGGUCUGAGAGGAUGAUCAGCCACACUGGGACUGAGACACGGUCCAGACUCCUACGGGAGGCAGCAGUGGGGAAUAUUGCACAAUGGGCGCAAGCCUGAUACAGCCAUGCCGCGUGUAUGAAGAAGGCCUUCGGGUUGUAAAGUACUUUCAGCCGGGAGGCGUUACCGGCAGAAGAAGCACCGGCUAACUCCGUGCCAGCAGCCGCGGUAAUAC